rnacentral:rRNA from 1 species
UUAAAUUGAAGAGUUUGAUCAUGGCUCAGAUUGAACGCUGGCGGCAGGCCUAACACAUGCAAGUCGAACGGUAACAGGAAGCAGCUUGCUGCUUUGCUGACGAGUGGCGGACGGGUGAGUAAUGUCUGGGAAACUGCCUGAUGGAGGGGGAUAACUACUGGAAACGGUGGCUAAUACCGCAUAACGUCGCAAGACCAAAGAGGGGGACCUUCGGGCCUCUUGCCAUCAGAUGUGCCCAGAUGGGAUUAGCUAGUUGGUGAGGUAACGGCUCACCAAGGCGACGAUCCCUAGCUGGUCUGAGAGGAUGACCAGCCACACUGGAACUGAGACACGGUCCAGACUCCUACGGGAGGCAGCA